rnacentral:rRNA from 1 species
GACGAACGCUGGCGGCGUGCUUAACACAUGCAAGUCGAACGGAAAGGCCCUGCUUUUGUGGGGUGCUCGAGUGGCGAACGGGUGAGUAACACGUGAGUAACCUGCCCUUGACUUUGGGAUAACUUCAGGAAACUGGGGCUAAUACCGGAUAGGAGCUCCUGCUGCAGGGUGGGGGUUGGAAAGUUUCGGCGGUUGGGGAUGGACUCGCGGGUUAUCAGCUUGUUGGUGGGGUAGUGGCUUACCAAGGCUUUGACGGGUAGCCGGCCUGAGAGGGUGACCGGCCACAUUGGGACUGCGAUACGGCCCAGAGUGCUACGGGAGGCAGCAGUGGGGAAUAUGGCACAAUGGGCGGAAGCCUGAUGCAGCAACGCCGCGUGCGGGAUGACGGCCUUCGGGUUGUAAACCGCUUUCGCCUGUGACGAAGCGUGAGUGACGGUAAUGGGUAAAGAAGCACCGGCUAACUACGUG